rnacentral:lncRNA from 1 species
GACACUUAACCCACUGAACAAGGCCAGGGAUCGAACCUGCAUCCUCAUGGAUACUAGUCGGGUUUGUUAACCACUGAACCACAAUGGGAACUCCCUUGAUUUUUUUAUUAAAUAAUGUAUUUUUGUUCUUAAUUUUUUUGAUCUGUCGAUUUCUGCUGAACAGCAAAGUGACCCAGUUAUACAUUUAUAUGCAUUCUUUUCGCCACAUUAUCCUCCAUCAUGUUCCAUCACAAGUGACUAGAUAGAGCUCCCUGUGCUAUGCAGCAGGAUCUCAUUGCUCAUCCACUCCAAAUGCAAUAGUUUGCAUCUACUAACCCCAGACUCCCAGUCCCUCCCCCGCCCUCUUGGCAACCACAAGUCUGUUCUCCAAGUCCAUGAGUUUGUUUCUGUUCUGUAGAUAGGUUCAUUUGUGCCAUAUAUUAGAUUCCAGAUACAAGUGAUAUCAUAGGGUAUUUGUCUUCCUCUUUCUGACUUACUUCACUUAGUAUGAGAGUCUCUAGUUCCAUCCAUGUUGCUGCAAAUGGCAUUAUUUCAUUCUUUUUUAUGGCUGAGUACUAUUCCAUUGUGUAUAUAUACAUCUUCUGAAUCCAUUCGUCUGUCGAUGGACAUUUAGGUCAUUUCCAUGUCUUGGAAUAGAGUUGCAGUGAACAUAGGGGUGCGUGUUUCAUUUUCAGUGAAAAGUUUUGUCUGGAUAUAUGCCCAGGCGUGGGAUUGCUGAAUCUCAUGAUAGUUCUAUUUUUAGUUUUCUGGGGCACCUCCAUACUGUUCUCCAUAGCGGUUGUCCCAUUUACAUUCCCGCCAACAGCGUAGGAGGGUUCCCUUUUCUCCACACCCCCUCGAGCAUUUGUUAAUUGUUGACUUGUUAAUGACGGCCAUGCUGACCGGCGUAAGUGGUACCUUGCAGUAGUUUUGAUUUGCAAUUCUCUAAUAAUUAGUGAUGUUGAGCAUUUUUUCAUGUGCCUGUUGGCCAUCCGUAGGUCAUCUUUGGAGAAAGGACUGUUUAGGUCUUCUGCCCAUUUUUCAAUAGGGUUGUUUGUUUUUUCACUGUUUAGUUGUAUGAGUUGCUUGUAUAUUUUGGAGAUUAAGCCCUUGUCAGUUGCAUCAUUUGAAACUAUUUUCUCCCAUUCUUUAGGUUGUCUUUUUUUUUUUUUUUUUCCUUCUAAAUUCGUGGAUUUUGUUUUAUUGUAGUUUGUGGAAAAUGGCAUGGUGUGUAUGGAUCCUUCUGAUAUACAGGAGGUUGGCUGGUAAUAAACAGAAACACCUCUCCUCACACUCCACUAGAUCACAGGCAAGUUCGAGGAAGUUGCCAGCCUACUGUUAUCCAUGUACUAAGAUAACCUGGUACCUAGGAGGGCUCUGGUUUGGUACGAGGGAGGUUCCCUACUGACAGGGUAAGUAAGCACUUGCCCCAUGAAACCAAGGCUCUCAAAAACUCUCCCAUGCGAUCCCUGACCCAAAUUUUAGCACCAGUUUUUUCCAUUUCACUUUCUAGGACUGAAAUACAAAGGAACCAGUGUCCAGAGGCAAGUGACAGAGGCCUUAAACUUGCUGCCAUCUGUAAUUUCUUCAUUCGUAAACUUCGCUUCAAAGACCCAAAAGCCCCAUUCCUCUUUUUAAAUAGAUUCCUGCCCUCUGCCCUGAUGGCCAACAGCCAGCUUCUAUUUCCCCUUGGCCGAGGGCGACUCCUCCACCUUCUUGGUCCCGGUUGGGAUGGGGUGGGUUCAUGUGCUCGUCCACACGCCUGGUCAUCCAACUCUCCAGCUGCCGCUUCCCCUGGUGCUCCUUCCUUCCUGCACCUAUUGCAUCUUUGGCUUUGUCACUGCAAUGCAUAGUGCACCCAGCCAGGCGGUCCUGGAACUUCUCCAGCUCACUGGUGACCAGGGCCUGGGCUUGAGCCAGAGGUGCAUGGCAGCACUCAGUGCACUGAUAUACCUGCCGCAUGGAUGCCUGGCUGUCCUCACAGCAGCCAGCGCGGCUCCGGAACAUGAGGCCCUGCAUCUUCCAGAUGUUCUCUCUCUCCAGAUUCUUCACUGUGGCGUCCACGGCUUCCUGCACCCAGAGCUGCCGCAGCUCUGCCAUGCCAGCACCCACAUGGACUCUGCCGAAGGGGGCCCAACGCUUCGCGGGUCACUGUUGCCCAUCUUUCCAGAGCCCAUGCCAGCACCGCCUCCUUAGGUUGUCUUUUUGGGUUUGUUUGUUUAAUGGUUUUCUUUGCUGUGCAAAAGCCUGUCAGUUUGAUUAGGUCUCAUUGGUUUAUUUUUGGUUUUUAUUGCUAUUGUUUUGGGAGACUGACCUAAGAAAACAUUUGCACGGUUGAUGUCAGAGAAUGUUUAGCCCAUGUUCUCUUCUAAGUCUUGUGGCAUCUUGUUUUAUGUUUAAGUCUUAAGCCCUUUUGAGUGUAUUUUUGUGCAUGGUAUGAGGGUGUGUUCCAGUUUCAUUGAUUUACAUGAGGCUGCCCAGUUUUUCCAGCAUCACUUGCUGAAAAGACUGUCUUUUUCCCAUUUUAUAUUCUUGUCUCCUUUGACAAAGAUUAAUUGACCAUAAGUGUCUGGCUUUAUUUCUGGGUUCUCUGUUCUGUUCCAUUGGUCUGUAUGUCAGUUUUGGUACCAAUUCCCCACUGUCUUGAUGACUGUGGCUGUGUAACAUUGCCUGAAGUCUGGGAGAUUAUGCUUCCUGCUUGGUUUUUGUUCCUCAGCAUUGCUUUGGCAAUUCUGGGUCUUUAUGGCUCCACAUAAAUUUUGGGGUUGUUUGUUCAACCAGAACUGUGAAAAAUGUCAUGGGUAAUUUGAUAGGGAUUGCAUUGAAUCUGGGUGGUAUGGCCAUUUUUACAAUAUUAAUUUUUCCAACCCAGGAGCAUGGAAUAUCUUUCCACUUCUUUGAAUCCUCUUUAAUUUCCUUGAUGAAUGUUUUAUAGUUCUCAGCAUAUAUGUCUUUCACCUCCCUGGUCAGGCUUGUUCCUAGGUAUUUAAUUUCAUGUGGUGUGAAUUAAAAUGUAUUUUUCCUUUUCUAAUAUUUCAUUGUUAGUAUACAGAAAUGCCACUGAUUUCUGAAUGUUAAUCUUAUAUCCUGCUACUUUGAUGAAUUUGUUGAUCAGUUUAGUCGUUUUUGGGUUGAGUCCUUAGAGUUUUCUAUAUAUAGUAUCAUGUCAUCUGCAAAAGAGUGACAGUUUUAUAUCCUCCCUUCCGAUUUGGAUACCUUUUAUUUCUUUUGUUUGAUCGCUGUGGCCAGGACUUCCAGUACUAUCUUGAAUGAAAGUGGUGAGAGUGGGCAUCCUUGUCUUGUUCCAGCUUUUAGUGGGAAGGCUUUCAGCUUUUCUCCGUUGAGUAUUAUAUUUGCUAUGGGUUUGUCGUAAAUGGAUUUUAUUAUGUUAAGGUAUGUUCCUUCAGUACCCACUUUGGUAAGAGUUUUUAUCAUGAACAGAUGCUGGAUUUUGUCAAAUGCUUUUUUUGCA